UCAACAGCUCCUAAGAUAUUUUCUUCUCUCUCUACACACAAGCAACUCUCCUUCUGGUUUCGUCGGAAUUCGGACUCUUCAUUGCUUGUUGAACCAGAUUUCAUCUCCUCUCCUUAGUCCGAAUUAAGCUUCUUGCUGAUCACACUUUGUUUCCUGUAAUCGAGGACUUCAGAUCCGCAGAGGUCUUUUUCAUGGCUACCUUUUCACGCACAGUAGAGCUUGAGGCUGGGAUGAUUCGGCGUAGCGGUUUUUGUUCGAUCAAAUGUGAGGUGGAUGUAUUGCAUUGGAUUGGAUUGGAUUGGAUUGGAUUGAAAUUGGUGCAACAGAUAAGAGGAUGAAGAUGAGGACGAUGACGAGGAAGAGGAGGAUAAGGGCACGAAAAAGAAAUGCGAAGUUUGUUUGACAGAACAUUUCGUACCAAAGCUUUUGGUCCUUCGGUUGGAUACAUUUACUGUAAGUAUGACAUUUCACUCCUAGAAGAUUGGCUUUCACUGCGGUGCAAGUUGUCUGCAUUCUGCAUUAUGACAUGGUGAUCCACAACUGUGAAACAGGUUUGCUAAUGCAGUUGUAAUCUGUUGCACGAUUUGAAGAGAUGUUAAUAACAUAAUCAAAAUAGUGAGCUUUGCUUAUUUUUUCUUUUUGGGGGUGGGUCCAUUGGAAUCAAUAUGGUAUGCUAUAUUACACUUUAGAGGGGUUAUAUAUUGCUUUUGCUGGUACUUCAUUGUUCUUAGGACCAGGCCCAGGCUGAGUCUGAUUCUGUGGCUGGCUUAGCUGCAGAUGAAUGGGUGCAUGCAAAUCAUAUUCAUUACUGAUGCUAUAUGGAGGCUGGGAACUUUUGUUUCCUCGAUUCACUUCCCUUGCUUCAUAAACCUGAGGUUAAAAUAUUCUGUGUUAGUGUUUGCUGGAGAAAACAUCUUUGCGUUCCCUACCCAUUGCCUCUCUCUAUCCUUUAGAUGAAUUAUACUAUGUGUUAAAUACAAAAGUAGAGCUUAAUGUGUAGAUAAUACCUUCUUUUGCAGUUCCUCAUUCUCAUUACUUAUGAGGUUUAGCUUCUUAUACAGUUCUAUAUUUUCUUGAUGUAUGAAAGUUUCCUGAAAAUAAAGUAGAAAAACAACGGUAAUUAGCAUCAAUUUACCCCCAAUAAAAUGAAUUAAUAUUAAUCAACUGGGGGGAAUUGAGCCAGCUCUUGGGCAACCUUCUGGUUCAGUUCUUUUAUUUCAUCAUUAAAUAUCUGGUUCUGCAGAAUAGAAAAGAAAAAAAAAAUGAGUGCCAUGCAUGUGCUAUAUAAAGAAGGGAGCAUGGAAUUAUUAAGUGAGACUAUAAUCAGGGCUCAGGCUUUUGAUACCUUUUUUGUCCGGACACCUUUCAAACUCAUCUCCAGCUGGCUUUCCAAAUUCUGUAGAUCUUUGGCACUAAAACCAGAAAGUUCUUCCCCCAUUAACUGCCUGCAUAAUUUACAGAAGGUGUGUGGGUACACUUUAAACAUUCUCACAAACUAAUUCAUAUACACUGAAUGUUACUUUGUGAAAUGUUUUUAACAAAGUUGCAUUUCAGUUGAUUUAAAAACUUCGUCUCUUUUAAAAACCGCUUUAAGGAGGAAGCAUAGGGAACACCCAGAUCAUUCAGGUUUAUGUCAAUGUGUUGUUGGGCUCCAUUGUGGUCCUCAGUUUUUAAGAGUUCAGAGACAUUUCCUGUUUCCUUUUGUGAAGAUCUCUUGAGAUUGCAUUUAUAUUUUCUAUGUUGGGGCUGAGCAGCUAGAUACUGAUUAUUUAUUAAUUUAUUUAUUUUUUCUGGUAGCUUCAGUGGACUUCUUGUCCACUGCUACUGUAUUUCUUCAAUUGGUGCUAAUUAUUUGUUCUGUUUCUUAUCAAUAAUCAAGAAACCUCGUUUCAUUAGUCUUCCUCCACGUUGAAAAGGUUUUCUGGGCUGGUAGUUAGAUGAACCUUUAUUAGUAUGAUAUCCUUUUGAAUAAGCAACAUGAAAUAUGCAUUGUUAUGUUUUGGUACUUGAAUCAAAUUGCUAGGCUGUGUUGAAGAUUCAAUAUAAAGCAAUGAUUGUACCUGUGGCAUUCUUCCAAGUACCGCAAUUGUUGCCUCAAGCUUGCUGCCUCCCUUUGCCAAAACUAUUUGGUAUAAAUUCAAUAAAUGUUGUCAUGCAUGAAAUAAGAACUAACUAGAUGAGCAUUUAUAGGAGCACUAGAAAAUGUUAGCAAAUGUAAAAUCAUACAUCAGGAGUCUGAAGCAUGCAUAUUUUAUUAUUAUUUUUAAUUGUAUUUUAUUUGUUUUGAAAAUACAUAUCUUGGGCCUCUCCACUUAUCACCAAUUGGUUUUGGUUGCAUGUACUCACAAUUUAAAGAUUAUAGGAACAUUGGUGAACUACAAAUUUCAUCAUAGUUUAGGGCACAAUUUGGUGGUUUCUUUGCUGUUCUGUCUGGCUCUUCCAAGAAUCCGUUUCAAGGAAGUCUUGCUACCAUAUGGUAGUAACUCGCUUUGUUCCAUUUCUAUUCUUAUCAUUAUCAUAGCCAAUCUGAAUAAAGCAAAGGCCAAUGCCCGUUGACUGGUGUUUACAUGAAUACAUCUAUACCACACAUGGUCGACUAGCCCGAUGGACCAUGCCAACUGAGAACAUCAUGGAUGGUCCACUCAGAUGGUGUAUGGUUUGAGGUUUGUGACAAACGUGCAUCUUAUGUUGGUGAAUAUUAUUAUUCCUUGUUUGAUCCCAAACGUGCAUCUUAUGUCUGCUCUAAAGGUUGCAUUUUCACUUAUUUACUAAGCUACUCGAUGACGACUAAUGGUACAAACUUGUUGAGAGCAGGUGUCUACACCAUUCUACUGAUGGAACAAACAACAACAUUACCGAUGACUUACCUUUAUUGAAAUUGAAGGAUACCUGCCAUGCAUAGUAUCCUCCGCACUAAAGAGCAAAUGACGAUAACAUUCACCCGUUGUAAGCUGUUCAGAAGUGCUGCAAUCUUGUUUGGUAAACUCUAAUAGCUCCCAUGUUUUACUGAAACCCUAGGAUACAACCAUGUCACCAUUUUCUCUUCAUCGUUAUUGCUGGAUUUCAAAAGAUAUGGAAGUUGCUUGCCCACACCAUUUCUAUCACCAUUUGUGUCCAUCAACACAAAGAUUUUCAUUCUGCACUUGUUUCUUCAAUUUUUCUUCCCAUCAAUCGAGGAAUUCUUGUGGGAGGCCUUGAUUUACAUUUCCAGAAACUAUACGUUACCAAUAACUAUGGAAAUGGAAAUAUUCCCUUCCACCGUACUGCAAUCGUACGCUGAAGUUUUUUCAUUACGUGGGGCAGGUCGAAUUUCUCAUUGGAUCAAUAUAUUAACUUCUUUGUUGUUUCUUCAGAAUUCUGAUGCCCGAAGCCUUUGAUUAUUGAAAUUUUAGCCUGGGCAGGAUUACCAGGUUGUCUAUCUUUUCGUAAAUAUAAAGCCCUCUAAUUGAAUAUGAGUUGGAAUAGUUUGAAACUGCUGGUUCAAGACAAACGAACUAUUAUUCAAUGGAAUUUUUCUUAAGGUUGGAUCCUUAAACUGUUGGUACCAUCAAAGCUUCAGCACCAAAAUACUUUCUUUUGGACUAUUGUUAUUUUCUUCUGCAAAUGCAAAUGAAUAUGCAUUAGCUUAAGGCAUUGCCUCAUUGAAGUGGACUAUUGUACAUAAGAUAAGUUUAGCUUGCCCUGGCAUUGCAUCUUUGUUUUCCUUUUAUCUACAACCCCGAAAAGACAGGCUUCAUUGUUAACUCCACAUGUUCACGUUUGUAUUCUUCCCACCACAAUUUCAGGUUGGUUUGGCGUUCCAAGGAUGUUAAAUGGUUCCUUUGAGUACCGUGGCUAUUUUAGAUAGCUACAUUCUUUUGAAGAGUGGUUGAGAUACGGGUAGUUCUCUUCUCUUCUCAUAAGAAACAAUAUAAUCUAGGCUUUACUCAGGUAUUUUCUUAAGUAGCAUCCCUGAAAGGAAAGUGCUAUCCUUGCCUAAGUAAUAUAGAAGAAAGCCCCUUGAAGAGAAUUCGAAUUGUAAUAUCAACUUGUAGACUUGUGUUUCUAUUUGCUAGAACUUCAGUUUAUCUUUUAACAAGUUAUCUAAACUUAACUAAUGUCAGCUGUAUCAUAUAUGAGAAAGAAGCUUUCCCAGAGCAGUCUAUUGAUCAUGCAAAUCAUUAGUGAAACUCAUAUCCCUUUCCCUCAUUGUGUCGUAGUAUUAGUAUUUUAAAUUAAACCUUCAACCAGGAAGAAUGACUAGUUUGCAUGGUAUACCUUAUAACUUCAUUAAACACCGCAUUUCACCUGAGUCUGUUGAAGGACAAGGUCAAUAACACAAAUCCCUUCUCUUAAGUGUUUCUUUUCCUAUCUGGACUCCACAGUUGAUUUUUGUCAGCGUCGCAAGAAUAUGUACCUGAAUUUCCUGAAUGAUCUUGUAUUUCCAGGCAUCGGAUUGUUUUUCCUUUUGCGAUCCACUACUCUUCCGACCUAAGUGUUCUCACGUUUUGAUAAUUUAUUUCAGGCUUUCAUUCUUAUGUGUUUUAGGCCUUUGGAAAAUGGUGCAAUUGUUUGAUUUCUCCAGCCACUUAGCAGGUAUUCAGCAGAAAGAAAAUUGGAGUGGUUACCUUGACUUCUGCAGCAGGAUUCAGCAGUUGAUGAUGCUCUGCUUUCAGUUUGUUGAAACGAUCGACAACUGAUUUCAUGCUGAUAAGAAAUUCAUAGCGUUAUGGUCGUUAGAUGCAAAAAUCAUGUACGUUCUGAAUAUUCUAUAGGUUUUGGUUUUAUGUCCUUCCCUUUUUCAAUGGAUAUACACACAUUUAUAUGUUUCUGGACCAAUGUGAUUGCUUUAGUGUUGAUGCAAGUAAAAUUCCUACAAUUUUGUGCAUAAAAAGACACAAGGCAAAUGUAAGAAAGAAAGUGCAAUUGAUUUGUACCAUAUGUGUUCAAGUGACUAAAGUAAAGUAAAAAUCCGUAUAAUCUUUUU